rnacentral:rRNA from 1 species
GUGGGCUUAAGCACUAAACUAGGAUUAGAUACCCUAUUAUUUUGAGUGUUAAUGUUUUUACCUGAGUAGUAUUAGUUGUGUUCUUGAAACUUAAAGAAUUUGGCGGUAUCCUACUCCGUUCAGAGGAAUCUGUCUCGUUAUCGAUAGUCCGCGUUGGACCUUACUUGGGGUUAAUUUUUGGUUUGUAUACCGCCGUUUAUUGAUUAUCUUUUUAGAGUUUCUGAAUUUUCUGGUUUCUUUAAUUUGAUUUAUUGCAGGUCAAGGUGCAGCUUUUUCCAAGUGUAAUGAUGGAUUACAGUGUUAUGUGUUGUUUGGAUUGUUUGUUUGAAUAUUGGCAUGAAAUUGGAUUUGGUUGUAAUGUUUUGUAGAUUGUUUUCAUGAUAGUUGGUUCUAGGAUAUGUACACAUCGCCCGUCGCUUUCCGAAACA